rnacentral:rRNA from 1 species
UACGGAGGGUGCAAGCGUUGUUCGGAAUUACUGGGCGUAAAGGGCGUGUAGGUGGUAGGGUAUGUCAGAUGUGAAAGCCCUGGGCUCAACCCAGGAAGUGCAUUUGAAACUACCCUUCUUGAGUAUGGGAGAGGAGAGUGGAAUUCCCAGUGUAGAGGUGAAAUUCGUAGAUAUUGGGAGGAACACCAGUGGCGAAGGCGGCUCUCUGGACCAAGACUGACGCUGAGAUGCGAAAGCGUGUGGAGGACACAGG